rnacentral:rRNA from 1 species
UAUAAUUUAAAGUAGGGCCUGCCCACUGAAUAUAUUUUAAAGGGCCGCAGUAUUUUGACUGUGCAAAGGUAGCAUAAUCAUUAGUUUUUUAAUUGAAAGCUGGAAUGAAUGGUUUGAUGAGAAAAUAACUGUCUCAAUUUUAAAAAUAGAAUUUUAUUUUUAAGUUAAAAAGCUUAAAUAUAUUUAAAAGACGAGAAGACCCUAUAGAGUUUAAUUUAAUAAAAUUUUAAAUUUUUAGAAUUAAAUGAUUUUAAAUUGUAAUUAAAUUUGAUUGGGGUGAUUAAAAAAUUAAACAAACUUUUUUUAAAUAAAAACAAUAAUUAAUG